rnacentral:rRNA from 1 species
CAAUUUAAACAACGAAGAGUUUGAUCCUGGCUCAGGAUGAACGCUAGCGACAGGCUUAACACAUGCAAGUCGAGGGGCAGCACAGGUAGCAAUACCGGGUGGCGACCGGCGCACGGGUGAGUAACGCGUAUGCAACUUGCCUAUCAGAGGGGGAUAACCCGGCGAAAGUCGGACUAAUACCGCAUGAAGCAGGGAUCCCGCAUGGGAAUAUUUGCUAAAGAUUCAUCGCUGAUAGAUAGGCAUGCGUUCCAUUAGGCAGUUGGCGGGGUAACGGCCCACCAAACCGACGAUGGAUAGGGGUUCUGAGAGGAAGGUCCCCCACAUUGGUACUGAGACACGGACCAAACUCCUACGGGAGGCAGCAGUGAGGAAUAUUGGUCAAUGGCCGAGAGGCUGAACCAGCCAAGUCGCGUGAGGGAUGAAGGUUCUAUGGAUCGUAAACCUCUUUUAUAAGGGAAUAAAGUGCGGGACGUGUCCCGUUUUGUAUGUACCUUAUGAAUAAGGAUCGGCUAACUCCGUGCCAGCAGCCGCGGUAAUACGGAGGAUCCGAGCGUUAUCCGGAUUUAUUGGGUUUAAAGGGUGCGUAGGCGGCCUUUUAAGUCAGCGGUGAAAGUCUGUGGCUCAACCAUAGAAUUGCCGUUGAAACUGGGGGGCUUGAGUAUGUUUGAGGCAGGCGGAAUGCGUGGUGUAGCGGUGAAAUGCAUAGAUAUCACGCAGAACCCCGAUUGCGAAGGCAGCCUGCCAAGCCAUUACUGACGCUGAUGCACGAAAGCGUGGGGAUCAAACAGGAUUAGAUACCCUGGUAGUCCACGCAGUAAACGAUGAUCACUAGCUGUUUGCGAUACACUGUAAGCGGCACAGCGAAAGCGUUAAGUGAUCCACCUGGGGAGUACGCCGGCAACGGUGAAACUCAAAGGAAUUGACGGGGGCCCGCACAAGCGGAGGAACAUGUGGUUUAAUUCGAUGAUACGCGAGGAACCUUACCCGGGUUUGAACGCAUUCGGACCGAGGUGGAAACACCUUUUCUAGCAAUAGCCGUUUGCGAGGUGCUGCAUGGUUGUCGUCAGCUCGUGCCGUGAGGUGUCGGCUUAAGUGCCAUAACGAGCGCAACCCUUGCCACUAGUUACUAACAGGUAAAGCUGAGGACUCUGGUGGGACUGCCAGCGUAAGCUGCGAGGAAGGCGGGGAUGACGUCAAAUCAGCACGGCCCUUACAUCCGGGGCGACACACGUGUUACAAUGGCGUGGACAAAGGGAGGCCACCUGGCGACAGGGAGCGAAUCCCCAAACCACGUCUCAGUUCGGAUCGGAGUCUGCAACCCGACUCCGUGAAGCUGGAUUCGCUAGUAAUCGCGCAUCAGCCAUGGCGCGGUGAAUACGUUCCCGGGCCUUGUACACACCGCCCGUCAAGCCAUGGGAGCCGGGGGUACCUGAAGUCCGUAACCGAAAGGAUCGGCCUAGGGUAAAACUGGUGACUGGGGCUAAGUCGUAACAAGGUAGCCGUACCGGAAGGUGCGGCUGGAACACCUCCUUUCUGGAGC